rnacentral:rRNA from 1 species
CCUACGGGGGACUGCAGUGAGGAAUAUUGGUCAAUGGACGAGAGUCUGAACCAGCCAAGUAGCGUGAAGGAUGACUGCCCUAUGGGUUGUAAACUUCUUUUAUAUGGGAAUAAAAUGUUCCACGUGUGGGAUUUUGUAUGUAUCAUAUGAAUAAGGAUCGGCUAACUCUGUGCCAGCAGCCGCGGUAAUACGGAGGAUCCGAGCGUUAUCCGGAUUUAUUGGGUUUAAAGGGAGCGUAGGUGGAUUGUUAAGUCAGUUGUGAAAGUUUGCGGCUCAACCGUAAAAUUGCAGUUGAAACUGGCAGUCUAGAGUGCAGGAGAGGUGAGCGGAAUUCGUAGUGUAGCGGUGAAAUGCUUAGAUAUCACGAGGAACUCCGGUUGCGAAGGCAGUUCACUGGACUGCAACUGACACUGAGGCUCGAAAGUGUGGGUAGCAAACAGGAUUAGAUACCCCAGUAGUC